AUGACACUCAUCUACACCCAAACCUCCUGGUGCUGGUAGAGGAGGCAGGAGAGAAGGAAGGAGGCUGGUUGUGGGAAAGGCAGGGGAAGGACAGGUGCCAAAUUUGAACAGUGACAUGCAGAAAUAUUUUUCUCCAAAGGCACAACCAAUCUUGUUCAAUUGUUCAGUCUUUUGUCCCCCAAACGGCACUAUCAGGAUUUAUCACUGCAGAAUGCCAAAUAAAGCGAGUUAAUAAACUAUCAGUGAUAGAGCAGACUACAGCAAAAAUGGCAAUAUCUGCAAAGAGCUGACCAUCUGUGAGGAAGAACACAUUUCCUACCAAGGCUGAGACCUGACAAAGAAGCCACAGGGUAAAUUUGGCGAAUGGAGAAAUGGAUGAGAGAGAUAAACUUUGUCUGCCUGCAUUAAGGUUCCCAAUCCAGAAAGAUGCUUGACACACCUGAUUCCCACUGACAUGCAACUUGAAUGAACAUAAAGUUGCAUCAUCAUCUUUGAGAGCCAGGUCCCAGAUUGCUUGCAUAUGUUUUGUGUCAAGUUGUACAUUUGGGUAAAAUCUGGUAAAAAAUAAAUUAGGAUCAAAAGAGCUAGUUAUUCACUUUUCCUACUGAAGUGUGGCAAUGAUUAACAGCUAUAGAAUGUUUUACUCCUUUUUAGAAAUUGUUUCUGCUCUCUUUGUCUUGAUUCGUUCUGAAGGACCUACUUGCAUUUUAAACUGUGAAAGGCCAGAGAGCAGAUGCUGUCAGCUCUGAAGGCUGUUGUUAUUGCGUAUGAAUGUACUUUGAAAAACUUGUGGUUGCUAUUAGCCUCAAACCACUGGGUUUUGUUUGGUUUUGGAUUUUUUUUCCCCCUGACAUUUUCCAUAAAUCUAUUUGUCCUUUUUUUUUUUUCCUUGUAUUUUAGGUUUGCAUGGCAGCUGGUUUGAUGUAUGUUUAAUAGUUUCUCUCCCUCCCAGCAAGGGCCUAGUGACAGCUCCUGUCUAGGAUUUAGUUGUUUGGAAAUGCUAUUGGCAUAUAAAAUAUUGACAACUAUCAAAAAUCCCCUGUAGAGCUAAAUCUGUAUGCUCUAUACCCUAGGAUAAUGCUCUUGGUCCACUUGUGGACAAACAAGUGUAGAUUACAAGCUGUGGUAAUUGAUGGUUAUAAAUGACAGCAUCAAGAAAAUGGAUCCCUUCAGAUACAGACUCUGAUAUACAGAUGUGUUUGUGAUUUACUGCUUUCCCAAAUGCUGGGAGAAAGAGAUGCUCAAAAAGAAUCAAGGUUCCUUGCUUUUUUACCACAAGUAUGCUAUAUGCUAGCUUUAAAAAUAUCGCCCUCUUCCAUUGUUAAAACAAGCUGUAUGUCUUGUCUACUUAAGCAAAAAUGAACUAAGUUGUUUGGCUUAAGUGAUGGUGGCACUUAAUACUCUUCAGCAAAUGAAAAUAAAUCUCAUGCUGAUAGCUGACUGCUUGAUGACUCAAGAGAAAUCUUGUUUAUUGGACCAUAACACAAAACUUUGAAGAAACAAAAAAUACAGAGUUGUGGCUUAUCAUAACCCACUCUCAGUGAUUCAUCAGGAGAGUUGGGAUUUAGUGACUUUCAUGUCAGAAAUCAAAUAAGAGGCAAACCCUCCCUUACUGGGUAGCUGGCAACUUCACGCCCUGUUUUACAAAACUGUUUUAAAUUCCAGUUUAUCUCCUCUAAAGCAUGCUAAGCCUGAAUCAUUAAUUUUUAAAACUCACUCAUCAACUCUUGCUUUGUUCUAUUUUCAAAUGGAAAAAAAGUUCAAGCUUUGAUAAUUGUUCUCUGAUUAUUUUUAUUUUCUGAAAUUGGAAAGUGUAUUUUUUUCCUCUGGCUUUUUUGUUUGAAUUAUCUGCUAUGUCUACCCUGCCAACCACACCAUGUGGAGAUCUUA